rnacentral:ncRNA from 2 species
UCGUGAGACAGUUCGGUCCCUAUCUGCUGUGGGCGUAGGAAAUUUGAGAGGAGCUGUCCUUAGUACGAGAGGACCGGGAUGGACAAACCUCUGGUGUAUCAGUUGWUCUGCCAAGAGCACUGCUGAGUAGCUAAGUUUGGAAGGGAUAAGCGCUGAAGGCAUCUAAGCGCGAAGCCCCCCUCAAGAUGAGAUUUCCCAUCCUUUAUGGAGUAAGAUCCCAUGUAGAUAAUAUGGUAAUAGGCCUGAGGUGUAAGUACAGUAAUGUAUUCAGCUGACAGGUACUAAUAGAUCGAGGACUUGACCAA